ACCAGCUGAUCGGGCUAUGAAGUUCAUCCAAAGCUAAGCAGGUUUGGGCCUGGCCAGUACUUAGAUGGGAGACCAGCUAGGAAAGCUGGGUUGCUGCUGGUA
rnacentral:rRNA from 1 species